rnacentral:lncRNA from 1 species
AUGAAAAUAACGAUAGUAUUAAUGUCCGACACAGUAUUGGUAAUAGUAAUCGAAAAAUGGGACAUAUGGAAAAAAUGGGACACAUGGAAAAAAUGGGACNNNNNNNNNNUGGAAAAAAUGGGACACAUGGAAAAAAUGGGACACAUGGAAAAAAUGAGUGCAUUGGAUGAUAAUAUUUUUAUUUCAAGUGAAAUUGAUGGAAUUAAUAAAAACAAAAGAAGAGAAUCUCAAAGACACAAAAACAGAAGGAGUUUAUCAAAGCAAGAUAAUAGGAUGUCACAUAAAGAAAUGAAUAAUAAUUCUAAAAAAAAUGAAAAUGCUGGUUAUCUUCUUAAUGUUGCAAGUAAUAGAGUUAGUAAAGAUAUAAUGGCUGUAAAUGAUGAAAAGUUAACAAGUACUACCAUUAUACCAGAAAAAAGAAACACAAACAGUAACAUAAACAGAAGCAGGGAAAAAAGCAUAGACUCUUUGGAUAUAGAAGCAAAUCAAAGUUUUAAUUCUCAAAGUAGUAAUAUUAUUAAAAAUAUGGAAGAAAACCCUUUAAACAGAAACUUCGAACAAAAAUAUACGGAUAUGGAAAAUCUGAUAAAAGAAGAAGAAGCAAAGUUUUUUGAUGGGAGUAUUGACCAAUAUAAAAGUAUUGUAAUUCCAGUUAAAGACGUAGCGAUAGAAGAUGUGAUAAAAAAACAAAACACAAGUGAUUCGUAUCAUAAAAGAGAGUUUACUAUGAAUGAAGAUGAGCAUAUUAGUGGUAAUGGCAUUAAUGGUAGUGGUAUUAAUGGUAGUGGCAUUAAUGGUAGUGGUAUUAAUGGUAGUGGCAAUAGUUGUAGUGGUAUUAAUGGUAGUGGUAUUAAUGGUAGUGGUAUUAAUGGUAGUGGCAAUAGUUGUAGUGGCAUUAGUGGUAGUAGCAUUAGUGGUAGUAGCAUUAGUGGUAGUGGUAAUAGUUGUAGUGGUUCUGCUACCAAAAGUUCUAUAAGAAGUAAAACAUGGAAUGAUCAUCACUGUCUUAAUAGUAAUAGCAUAACUAAAAAAUGUAUAUUGCCUGACCAAACCGAUUGUGAGAAUCCAUCAAAUGGUAUCAUUUUAGAACCCGAAAACAUGAUUGGUAGUACACUGUUUACAGAGAAAAAGUUAGAUGAGAAUGAAAGUCCGAUUAUAAAUAAUAGAUUUACUUUACAAAGUAAUAUAUCUAAAGAUAUGGAUAUUACUUAUAAAGAUAUUGGUAAGAGUAAAAAACAUAUGGUAAAUAAUAGUAUCAUAAACGAUUUGGGAAGUAAGGUAAAUCCAAAAAGGGAUGUAAAACCAUUUAGUUCAAAAAAUAAUUCAGUAUUACAUAAUACAACCUUACAUAAUACGAAACUGCAUAAUAAAGAUUUAACUAUGUUAGAUAGAAGUGACUAUGUUGGUAAUAAUGUAAAAAUAUUAAAAGAAAAUAAAAAAAAAAAAUGUACAAAUUUGUUUAGUUGUAAAGUUAAUAAAAAAGAGAGACAUAAUAUAAUUAAAAAAGAUAUAUUACUGGAGUUAGAUGAUGAAUUUGUAAUGAAUAUGAAAAGUCCAGCUCAAUUAAGUUUAACUGGUACUGAAUUUUUAACAAGAGAAAUGUUAGAUGUAUUUUUAAAAACAGAAGAAGCAGACGAAUUUAUGAAAGAAUAUGAUUUGUCAGGUCAUGGUAAAAUAGAUAUAAUUAUGUUUAGAAAUGCAAUAAAAAGAACUAUUUCUGCUCGUAAAAAAUUUAUAAAAAGUUUAAAAGGAAAAGAAAGUAUUUUAAAAUUAGUUAGACGUUUAAUGUCUAUUUUACUUUCAUUUUUUGCUGUAGUUGUUUUAUUAUUUAUGUUUGGUGUAACACCAGAUACUAUUAUAGUUACAGGUGCUGCAUUUAUUACUGCAAUAACAGUUAUUUUAGGUUAUAUGUAUACAAAUUUUAUUACUUCUGUUAUUUUUAUUGCUUUUUCAAAUCCUUAUAAUAUAGGAGAUAGAAUUCGAUUAGAUGGAGGUGAUGCAAUGUAUAUAAGAAAAAUAAAAACAUAUACUACCGAAUUUGAAACUACAACUGGUAAAGUUGUUAUAUAUGAAAAUUCGAAACUUAGUAAUGCUAAAAUAUUUAACGAAAGUAGAUCAAAAAAUGCAUUUAUAGAUAUACAAUUCAAAGUAGAUAUUAAUACACCUUUAUUAGCAUUAAAAGAAUUAAGAAAAAGUUUACAAUAUUUAGUUGAUAGUAGACCUAGUGAUUUUUGUAAAACUAAAAAUUUAUAUUAUGGUUUAUCAUUACAACCUGGAUAUUAUUAUGAAAUCAGUUUUUGGAUAAAAUGUGUUGAAGGUUGGGGAAAUUGGAGAAAAGUAUUAGAACUUAGAACAGAUAUAUAUGAUUUUAUUAUAUUACAAUUAAGAUUAUUAAGUAUAUCUUAUAGAUUACCUACUCAAAAAGUUGGUUUUACUGCGCCAUUAAAUAUAAUCGAUGCAAAUAAUAAUCCUAAUUAUAACUUUAAUUUUAACACAACUUCGGCUUCCUCUGCUGCUGCAGCUGCUGCUUCUGCUUCUGCACAUCCUAACAAUAUAAAUAAUAUUAAUUAUAAUAAUACUAUGGAUAAAAUUAAUAGAAAUAAAUUAAGUAAAUAUACAUUACCACCUAAAGAUUCAGGUACUAGAAAUCCUAUGUUUGUUCAAUUGUCAAAACACAAAAGAGAAUUUAGUUCUUUUAUGUAUGAACCAAAUAUUAAUCCAAUGUUAAGUUAUACCAAACAAUUGAAUAUAAAUAUGAAUAAUUCUAUAUUAAAUAGAUUUAACCAAUUGGAUAUAAAAAAUGAUAAAACUGAUGAAAAUCUCGUCAGUAUAAAUCCUUUAACUUUGUGUAAUAAACAAUCUUCAAAUUAUAAAGAUAUAAUUGAACAUACCGACAAGUGGAAUCAAACUGAAGUUACAGCUUUGGGACAGUAUAACAAAUUUGAUGAGAACGGUAGAGAUAGUGGUGGAGAUGGCGCUAGAGAUAGCAGUAGAGACAAUGGUAGAAAUAGUGGUGGAGAUGGCGCUAGAGAUAGCAGUAGAGACAAUGGUAGAUAUAGCAGUAGAGACAAUGGUAGAUAUAGCAGUAGAGACAAUGGUAAAUAUAGCAGUGGAGACAAUGGUAAAUAUAGCAGUAGAGACAAUGGUAAAUAUAGCAGUGGAGACAAUGGUAAAUAUAGCAGUGGAGAGAAUAUUAUUGGUACCGACGUAUUAAAACAAAAGUUCGUUAAUAAUGGUACAAUUGAUGAUUCGAAAAAACUGAACGUAUUUUCAGACAAUUUUAGUAUGAUUUCUAAUUCUGAGAAUAAUCCACCUAAUCAAUUAGUUUAUUGUGAAAAAAAUAGUUUAAAUAUAAAUAAUAUAAAUAAAUAUAAUAAAAAAUUUUAUAACAAUCUUGAGAAUGUAGAUAAAAAUUGUAUAUAUGAUGAAAAUGAUAAUAUACAUACAGAAAACAAUAUAAAGUGUGAUAAUAUGUUAAACUAUAAUACUUAUAUAGAGUAUAUUAGAAAUGUUUCUAAUAAAACUACACGACCACGUGAUUACGAGUGUGUUCAACAAAUUUUACCACCACAACAACAACAGCAGCAUAUUAAAAACAUAAACACACAUGGUAAUUCCCAAAUUAUAAACAAUUCUAAUAAUAUUAAUAACGUUUGUUAUAUUGGUAAUAAGAAACAUUUAUAUAAUAGGGGGGAUGUACCAUAUGAGUGGGCUAAUGUUCAUAAUGCUAGUAGAAUCAAUAGCACUGAUAGUGGCAAUAAUGACAAUUAUAUGCGAUACAUCUACGAACAGAACAAGUAUACUUCGUCUGACCACCUUGACCCUUUUGAACAAACACCGAUUAUAAAAUCAGAUGAAUAUUCUUGUGAUAGUUCGUCUGGGUAUGACAGUUACGAAUAUGUUAAACACUUUUCAUAUCUACACAAAAAAAGUGAACUAGUUCUAGAUGAUAAGAAUGUGAAAAAAUUAUUUUAUAAAAAAAAAAACGUGUAAACAGUUGUGCAUAUCUAUAUAUAUAUAUAUAUAUAUAUAUAUAUAUAUAUAUGUAUACUUUUUGCUAUGAAGCCAUUGAUUCCGGGGAGCGGUUUAACUUGGCUAGUUCUACUUCUUACUAGCUGGAUUUUACUUUUUUUUUUUUUUUUUUNNNNNNNNNNNNNNNNNNNNNNNNNNNNNNNNNNNNNNNNNNNNNNNNNNNNNNNNNNNNNNNNNNNNNNNNNNNNNNNNNNNNNNNNNNNNNNNNNNNNAAAAAAAAAAAAAAAAAAAAAAAAAAAAAAAUACAGUAAUUGAUGCAGUAAUUAAUACAGUAAUUAAUGCAGUAAUUAACUGGGGGUGAAACUUACAUGUUAUUAAUAAAAUGCAUCUAUAUGUAUAUACA